GCCAGUGUGGUUUAGUGGCUUGAGUGUUGGACUAUGACUCGGGAGACCUGGGUUCGAAUCCCAGCUGGGCCA